AUGGCGCUCGAUCGGCAGAGUCGUUGCGAGACCGUUCGCGACACAAAAAGGAAACUCUUCUGCAUUUGCACUUGCAGUUAUACCGCAGCCAGUCCCGAGAACGACGAUACGAUUCAUUGUUUUCGUACGCGGAACGCAGUCAAGCUGGCUGCCUCCGCCGGUAACCCCUCCGCUGCCGUCGCCGCCUCCGCGCAUCCUCCUGUGCUUUGGAGCUCGCGCAGGAAGCCCGUAGGCCUGCACUUGCGGAGCAUCGAAGAACCGAGGAUGACGGCGGAGACGGCAGCUCCUUGUGUGCAGGGGAUGCAAGGGGUGCAGACCGCUAUGGCCGGCCAGGGGGCGUUGCAACAGGUGCAAGAUGGAAAAUCCACCGGUGGUGGUUACUAUUCCUCCACUUCCGCCGUCUACGAUCCGGAAUACGCCCGCAUGGAGGCAUGGCUCGACGAACAUCCCGACUUCGUCAACGAUUACUUUCUCAGGAAAGUGACGAGACAGACGGUAGACAUGUGGUUGGUCUCGCACGCGACGCCAACGUCCUCGUCGAGCAGCUGCGUCGAAUUGUCGAGCCCGACCCAUGCAGGUGGCGCGUCGUCCUCUGGCCGUGGUGGAUCAGGCGGAUCAGGUGCCACCACUCCUGUACGAAAAAUCUCGGCACACGAGUUCGAGCGCGGCGGUUUGCUAAAGCCGAUCGUGAACACGAUCGACGGGACGCCCACGUUCCUCAGCGUUUCGCCCGGGGAUUCAGGACAGCCUGGAGGUCAGCAGGUUGGCUCCGGAAACGCGGGCAGGCCCCAGAGACGGUCCAGACACGAGUUGAGGCAUCUCGACGAGAAAGAUCUCAUAUUCGAAUUGGUGAAGGAUAUCUGUAAUGAAUUGGAUGUGAGAUCAUUGUGCCACAAAAUCCUGCAAAACGUGAGUACCUUGUUACACGCGGAUCGUGGUUCCUUGUUCCUGGUGCAGGGGGAGAGAGGCGGUGGCUGCAUGCCGUCCUCGCAAAAUCACGACUCCACGUCGAACAAUCCAAACGAUAAUGGGAAUCCAGGAAGAACGGAGCAACGUGGAUACUCGAGGAGCAGAUGUCUAGUCUCUAAGUUGUUCGACGUGUGUUCGAGAUCGACGCUACUUGAAAUGGAAAAAAAAGAUGAGAUCAAAAUUCCCUGGGGCACAGGAAUCGUCGGAUACGUUGCCGAAAGCGGGGAACCUGUUAACAUACCAGAUGCUUACAAGGAUUCAAGGUUCAAUCGCGAAAUUGAUGCAUUGACGGGAUACAGAACCAGAGCUCUUUUGUGCAUGCCAAUAAAGGAUUGCAACGGAGACGUUAUCGGCGUUGCACAAGUAAUCAACAAACUCGGUGGUGAAAGUCAAUUUACUGCGCAAGACGAAAAAGUUUUUGCUGGAUAUUUACAAUUCUGUGGUAUUGGAUUAAGGAAUGCGCAGCUAUAUGAAAAGAGUCAAUUAGAGGUUAAAAGAAAUCAGGUUCUUUUAGACCUAGCUAGGAUGAUUUUCGAAGAGCAGAGCACAAUAGAGCAUAUGGUAUUCAGGAUUUUGACCCAUACGCAAUCCUUGAUACAGUGUCAACGAGUACAGGUUCUCCUCGUGCAUAAGGCAUCGAAGGGCAGUUUCUCACGAGUGUUUGAUUUCGAGGCGAAUGACCUCACCGGCGAGGAUUCAGAUUCUCGCACUAGUCCAUUCGAGAGCAGAUUCCCUAUAAAUGUCGGCAUCACCGGUUACGUUGCUACAACUGGAGAGACCGUGAAUAUACCGAACGCCUACGAAGAUCCAAGAUUUGAUCCUUCCGUAGAUGAUGGCACUGGUUUUAGACAUCGUACUAUUCUCUGCAUGCCUAUCAAGAAUUCCUCGGGUCAGAUUAUUGGUGUUAUUCAACUGAUCAACAAGUUCGACGAUCUUGCUUUUACAAAGAAUGAUGAGAACUUUGUCGAGGCGUUUGCUAUUUUCUGCGGCAUGGGAAUUCACAAUACACAUAUGUAUGAAAAAGCUGUGAUAGCAAUGGCCAAACAAAGCGUUACUUUAGAAGUGCUUAGUUAUCAUGCUUCCGCAUCAUUGGAGGAUGCACAAAGAUUAAGAGGUUUAAGAGUGCCUUCUGCUGCGCAUUUUCAAUUACACGAUUUCAAGUUCGAUGACAUUUAUAUGGAAGACGACCAAACAUUAACAGCGUGUCUUCGAAUGUUUUUAGAUCUUGAUUUCGUCGAACGUUUUCAUAUUGAUUACGAUGUCCUUUGUCGUUGGCUUCUUAGUGUAAAAAAGAAUUACCGAAAUGUCACAUAUCAUAAUUGGCGUCAUGCGUUCAAUGUUGCGCAAAUGAUGUUUGCCAUUUUAACUGCCACGCAAUGGUGGAAAAUUUUUGGAGAAAUUGAAUGUCUUGCAUUGAUUAUUGCCUGUUUGUGUCAUGAUCUGGAUCAUCGUGGUACGAACAAUUCUUUUCAAAUCAAAGCAUCUUCGCCAUUAGCACAACUUUAUUCAACGUCAACGAUGGAACAUCAUCAUUUUGAUCAGUGUCUCAUGAUACUGAGUAGUCAAGGAAAUCAAAUUUUAUCAAAUUUAUCUCCAGAAGAAUAUUCUCGUGUGGUAAAAGUUCUUGAAGAAGCAAUCCUUUCUACUGACCUAGCAGUUUAUUUCCGAAAGAGGGGUGCUUUCCUUAAUCUAGCUCAAGGUGGUGGCUACAAUUGGGCUUACAGUGAUCAUCGAGAACUUUUGAGGGGAAUGUUGAUGACCGUGUGUGAUUUGGCGGCGAUAACUAAACCUUGGGAAGUUGAGAAGAGAGUGGCGGAAUUAGUUAGCAGUGAAUUUUUUGAACAAGGAGAUAUCGAAAGGCGGACUCUCAAUAUUACUCCUAUUGACAUUAUGAACAGGGAGAAGGAGGACCAACUGCCAAUGAUGCAAGUUGGCUUCAUCGAUUCGAUUUGCCUUCCUAUUUACGAGGCAUUCGCAUUAUUAUCGGAUAAAUUGGAACCGUUGGUGGAAGGUGUUAGAAAGAAUAAACAACAUUGGCUUGAGAUCGCGGAAUCCAGAUGUAAAUCAGACAAUUGUACGAAUCACGACAGGACACUAUCUGAUACCGAAGAAACUUGCGAACAGGCGGAUUAGUAGUUGUUAUUUCAAUGGAGAAGUGAAAAUAUGAAAAUGGAGACAAUUGUACAUGGAUAAAUAUUCGUUUUUAACGAGGAACAAACAAAACACGAUAUCAAAAGAGAGCAGCAGCGAGAUUAUCAUGUACGUUUUAUAUGCUGUUCGUCGAUGAAAUAAGAAAAAUCAAUCAAGGAGGCUGAAGAUGAUUAAUUUAAGAUGAUUGUGCUUCGUCCUCUCUUUGGUAAUAAAACAGAUCAACCCCGAGAUGCUACUCUUGUACCUGAUCGUAUUGUACGUAUACUUACUAUGGCAGAUCUUUGAUGUCCAGAGAGGGCGAAGAAGAAGGACGAUGAUAGAAUAUGCGAAAUCCGAAGGAAUUGCGACGAAAAUUGAUUUUCUUUUCUUUGUGAAAUUUCCAUUAUGAAUUGAAGACCUGUGGCCAAUCACAUUUUAUGUUUUCAAAUAUAAAUAUUAACGUUGAUAAUGAAUAUAUUAUAAUGGCUAUAUACUUGUUGCGGAUGAUAAUUGGAUAACGAUCCAUUGAAAUGAAGGAUAAAAUGACGGUGCUAUUGAUGUAGAUAUAAUAAUAUUGUUCACUUUUGUUAAAUUUAGAAUAUCGUACGUAUACGUAUCAAAAAUGUAUUACCGAAUUAAAGAAUUGUUUUUUUUUUUUUUUUUUUGCAGUAUUUUAAGCUAUAAGAUUGUUUUUUUGUGCUUAUUUUUGUUAAUAAGAAAUAUCGAUAAUUAUAUAAUAAUGAUUUCAUAAAUUUAUAAGAAACGAAAUUGUAAAUGUAACUGAAGAAAUAAUUGCUUGUUAUCGAGAUGUUUUGAAUCUCGUUUAUCAACAAAAUUACUACAGGUCUUCAAUUAACGAGACGGAUAAUUCCUCAAUAAUUACGUAGAUAUAAGAACUCUCAGCUCUUGUCUUGGAAUCGCGUUUACAGGGAAUUGUCUCCGAUUUAUGGACUCGUCCGACCAAGAAUCGAGUCUUGCGUGUAAUUAUAUAAUGUAUUCGUAAACCAAAGUGUACGUUUAUACAUCAAGAUCAAUUGUGAUCUUUAUUAUUCGAUAUGGCAAUGAUUUUAAAUGCUGUUGUGCGUGCUAAUUAUUAUAAUUAGUGGUUAGAUGUGACGGGGAAUAAAUUUUUUCGUCGCUUAUCUUGCUUAUCUUGAAUGUUUUUUAAUAUCGUUUAGAUUCAAAUAAUCGUUUUCCUCUUCGCACAAAGCUUCGAUGAGAAGAGCAUUUAGAAUUUAAAAGAUAUUUAAGGAAAAUGAUGAUAACGUAUCUUGUUACUUUUAAAUACAGAUGAAUUUUUAAAAUCAUUAUUGAAUACAGGACAUAUCACUGUGAUUUAACAUAACCAAAUAUUGUGACUUAAUACACACAUAAUAUGUAACAGUGAUUCAUAAAUUGUGCAAAAACGUACAUUAAAGAUCAAAAUAUUUGAAUGCAAAAAGUAUAAGUAUUUAGAUCGCUCAAAAUCAAUUUCUAUAAAUUUUACUUGAUUUCACAAAUUGUAUAUUUUACUCCCAAAGUUAACAUAUCUGCUCUGGAAAUAAAAAUAUAGCUUUGCGAAGACGAAAGCAUUUCAGGAUUCGUUCGCGUGUGAUCGUUACUUAUAAUGAUAGUCCGUAUUUUAUAUAUGUUCCUUUCAUUGUUAAAAAGAAGUGUCCUUUUUUUUAAAAUCGUUAAAAAUAAAUUGUCUAUUUUAUUGCGUGACGCUAUAAGAGAAGCAAAAUGGUGUAAGAAUUGUGUGAUAAAAAAAAUGUUUAUUGCGUGUGAUUGUUACAUUGUGAGUGAAUGUUACGCCGAUAAAAGCGAUGCGAUGUACAGUUUUCGUGUAAAUUAUUGAUACGUCAAAAUCGAGUUGUUUAGCGUGUAUGUUUAUGACAUGGUUUAACAUAUAGUAUGAGAGUCAUAUAUUAUACUGAACAACAUCUAAUAUAUUAAAACAAGACUAAAUUAUGUGAUAUAUCUAUAA
rnacentral:misc_RNA from 1 species